CACUCCCUCCAAAUAUAUUAAAAAUAUUUUAUUAGAUAGUUUGAAACAUAAUCUAUUAAAUAUUGUCAAUUCUGUGACAAAGGGUACAAAGUUAUGUUUGAAUCUUCAUUAUGUAUAGUAACUAGUCCCAAUGAUGAAGGUAUUAAAUUUGUUGGGCAUAGACAUGGUAAUAUUUAUAUGGUAGAUUUGAAUGAUCUUUUUAAGAUAAACAUGCAAUGCCUAGUAGCCUUAAAUGCUAAAAUUAAUGAGAUUAGUUGGCUUUGGCACCGUAGGCUUGCACAUA
rnacentral:lncRNA from 1 species